AGUGAACGCUGGCGGUAUGCUUAACACAUGCAAGUCGAACGGCAGCACAGUAAGAGCUUGCUCUUACGGGUGGCGAGUGGCGUACGUGUGAGGAAUACAUCGUAAUCUACUUUUUCGUGGGGGAUAACGUAGGGAAACUUACGCUAAUACCGCAUACGACCUACGGUUGAAAGCAGUGGAUCUUCUGACCUUGCGCGAUUGAAUGCGCCGAUGUCGGAUUAGCUAGUUGGCGGGGUAAAGGCCCACCAAGGCGACGAUCCGUAGCUGGUCUGAGAGGAUGAUAAGCCACCCUGGAAGUGAGACGCGGACCAGAGUACUGAGGGAGGGAGCAGUGGGGAAUAUGGGACAAUAGGCGCAAGUAUGAUCCAGCGAUACCGAGUGGGUGACGAAGGCCUUGGGGUUGUGAAGACCUUUUGUUGGGAAAGAAACGCAGCAGGUUAAUACCCCGCUGUUCUGACGGUAACCAAAGAAUAAGCACCGGCUAACUUCGUG
rnacentral:rRNA from 1 species